AUCGCAAUAGAUGUAAGUAAACGCAAAUCUCCCCUUUUUGUCAUUUUCUUGUUUGUGAAACUUGAAUGUUUUAUUGGUUUGGGAGGGCUUGAUUUGUUACUGGGUUCCAUUGGAAACGGACCUUAAGAUGGUUUGCUUCUUUGGGGAUUGGGGACGGGAGACCAAUACCAACGCAACUUCUUAAUAUUUCUUUUGUUCUUGUCUCAUGUGUACUUCAAAAAUGAGGAAGUGACAAAAUGGCGCCCAACGUUAAUAAAAGUACAGUGGAAUCAAUCUCAACCAGUAUUGUUCUGUAAUCAGCCAUUUUGCUAAUAGCAUUCAAUUUUCGGUUUGAAGGAAAUGGAGAGAUUUUCUGAAUAAGUGAUCGUUUCAAGAGAUCACCAACGAUGGAAACAAAUACACACACACAUAAAUUAGAAAAGUGAAUAAUUGUGGUAAAUUUGAAAACUGAUGAAUGAUAUUUGUUUAACCAGUGUGUUGAUAACAUGAGUGAUAUUUAUUUCUA